rnacentral:rRNA from 1 species
AGUGAACGCUGGCGGCAGGCCUAACACAUGCAAGUCGAACGGCAGCACAGUAAGAGCUUGCUCUUACGGGUGGCGAGUGGCGGACGGGUGAGGAAUACAUCGGAAUCUACUUUUGCGUGGGGGAUAACGUAGGGAAACUUACGCUAAUACCGCAUACGACCUACGGGUGAAAGCAGGGGAUCUUCGGACCUUGCGCGAUUGAAUGAGGCGAUGUCGGAUUAGCUAGUUGGGGGGGUAAAGGCCCACCAAGGCGAGGAUCCGUAGCUGGACUGAGAGGAUGGUCACCCACACGGGAACUGAGACACGGUCCAGACUCCUACGGGAGGCAGCAGUGGGGAAUAGUGGGCAAUGGGCGCAAGCCUGAUCCAGCCAUACCGCGUGGGUGAAGAAGGCCUUCGGGUUGUAAAGCCCUUUUGUUGGGAAAGAACAUCAGCAGGUUAAUACCCCGCUGUUCUGACGGUACCCAAAGAAUAAGCACCGGCUAACUUCGUG